rnacentral:misc_RNA from 1 species
GAUGAAGAACGUAGUGAAAUGCGAUAAGUAAUGUGAAUUGCAGAAUUCAGUGAAUCAUCGAAUCUUUGAACGCACCUUGCGCCUUUUGGUAUUCCGAAAGGCACACCUGUUUGAGCGUCAUGAAUACCUCAAUCUCCAUCUUUUCUUCGGAUUGAUGGGUGAUUUGGAUGUUGAGCCCUGCUGGUAUGCUAUAUCAGCUGGCUUUAAACUUAUUAGCCGGCUCUGUACUGGAUCGGUUUGACUCGACGUGAUAAUAUUAUCGUUGAGGAUGCAUGUCUCAUGCAGCCGGAAAGUAUCAAAGCAGCUUCUAGCUUGCCUUUAGUGCACUUUUACAUUUUAGACCUCAGAUCAGGUGGGACUACCCGCUGAACUUAAGCAUAUCAAUAAGCGGAGGA